CAGUAGCCGCGGUAAUGCGAAGGGUGCAAGCGUUAAUCGGAAUUACUGGGCGUAAAGCGUGCGCAGGCGGUUUGUUAAGACAGAUGUGAAAUCCCCGGGCUCAACCUGGGAACUGCAUUUGUGACUGGCAAGCUAGAGUGUGGCAGAGGGGGGUGGAAUUCCGCGUGUAGCAGUGAAAUGCGUAGAUAUGCGGAGGAGCACCGAUGGCGAAGGCAGCCCCCUGGGCCAACACUGACGCUCAUGCACGAAAGCGUGGGGAGCAAACAGGAUUAGAUACCCGAGUAGUCCCUGUCUCUUAUAC
rnacentral:rRNA from 1 species